ensembl:lncRNA
CUGGUUAGGUUUUAUGUCUCUUGCUGAAAAACUGCAAAGGAAUAGCUGUAUUUCACAGUGAAAAUUGCAUUUAAUUGAAAGCAAAACAUUCAAGCACCCAAAAGAGAAGUGAGAAGAAGGGAUCCCACUCACAGGGGGAUAGUGGAGCUGAGAGGCUGUCCCUCUAGUCUGGUGGCCAACGGGGCACAGUCCUGUGAGGUUCUGGGGAAGGAGUGGGCUCAAUGAGUGAAAGAUGCUAACACGACCCAGACACUCUGCAACAUUAAACACUUAAAAAGGUUUGGGGUUUUGAAUACAGAGACCUCAGCCUACUUGGUUACCAUGGCAAACAAUCACCAAUAGAAGUCUUUUAAUCUUUAAUUAAAGAUACACAAAAAAGGAGAAAAAACAGUUUAAGCACUUGAAAAAUAAGACUUUAUGCUUUAAAAGUGUCCAUUAUCCCUCUUCCCUUAGCUGUCAACAGUUUUUGUAGCAGUGCUUCCCUCCCUUUAUUUAAGGUCAUAGCAGCACUCACUGUUUUUUGGGAGACACUCAUUGAGAUAGACUGGAUCUGCUGUUAGUACUCAUUUUGGGAUUCUGCUUUGCUCAUUUGAAGACACAGGCAUGCAGGAGGGGAGAGGAAAGGAGAGCAAAGACAAAAAUUAUUACUUCCUCUUCAGGUGUUGACUUUUACUUGCAGCCUCACUGCUAGAAAAAGACAAGCACAACACAUGGACUUAUCAGCCCCUCUCUGAUCAAGGGGAUUUAUAUCAGCGUCUGUCUCAUUUAGACAUUGCUUUUGGUUGUCUCCUUGAUUGCAGUUCACAGCUGUGUUGUACAACCCGUACCCUCCUAUCUAGGAUAGUUUGAUUAAAAGGAAGGUAAAAGAAAGAAAAGGCAGAGAAGCAUGUGAAAAGACUGCAAAGCUACUGAGAGAAGGGUGGCUUCAGGACCCCAAGUCUUCCCUUCCAAGUGGGUUUCCAGGACUGCACUGAAAUUGGUGGACAUAGCGAUGACUCCCAUGUAUCUCCUCACCAGAAACUCACCAGAAGGUCUGACCAGAUCAAGUAAGUGUAGAAUCAUAGAAUCACAAAGGUUGAAAAACACCCACAGGAUCAUCCAGUCCAACCAUUCACCUGUCACCAGUGGUUCUCACUAAACCAUGUCCUUCAACACAACGUCCAAAUGUUCCUUGAAAUACCAACAGUGUCACAGCAGAGACUUAGAUCUCGAAGUUGACAACGACAGCUGUCAGCAUGUCUCCUUUCUGUCCACCUAUUCUAGGAUCAGUAUCAAAAUGGAUGUACCCCAGAGGAUGAUGUACAUGCCACCAGUCACCAGUUGGCUUUAGCUCCUGGCACAUGAGUUUUGGUCCAUUGAUUUUGGCAUUUAUCUUGUACAUCAGGCCUGAUGUCAGCACAGUCCUUGGUUAAUAUUAGGAAGACUUUCUGAUUGAACUAAUUUGGUCUUCCCAUCUUUAACUUGUGCUGACUUCUCCAAGUAAUUUUCUCCAGCAGACUGAGCUGCACUUUCUCACCUCUGUGAACUUUAGCACAUGCGUUUGCCUGAUGUGCUUGCGUAGGAUGUUCAAUGCCCUCUUCUGCUUCCCUGUCUACCCUUCUUCUUUUCCAGGAGAAUACCACAGUCACAAGAGCAGGGGUACCCUGGGAGAGGCUCUGCCAAUGGCACUUUCAUAUUCCUUAGUAGCGCAAUACUCAUUAGCACAGACUGGGGAAGCCAGGUGAAUUGUGUCCAUGAGUGUCUCUACUGGGGUCUGGAAAGAGGACACAUAAGUGGUGAGGAGUAAGAACAACCCACCUUAGUAUGCAGCACAGCACAACCUUAUGGCAUUCUCUUGGGAGAUAAGUGAUGCUGGUUCUAGUUCCCCCAGGCAGAGGAGGAAAUUAAACCCAGGACUCCCACAUCCUUUAUGAGCGAAUAAAAAGUGGCUGUCUUCCUCUCAGCUUUGUGAAUAUAAUCGUGAUAUUUUCUUCCGGGGAAUCAAUUUGGUAAGUCCACGCUGAAUUCAACAAUCAUUUUGGGACAAUGGAAAAAAAAAGCAAACAUUUUUCAAUGAGAAGGAUGCUGGCUAAAAAAACAUUCUAUUGACUGUAGUGGCAGUACAACAACCAGACAGACCCCAUCACUCUGCCACUUUAUAUCCAGCAGCUGUAGGACAGGAAACUCUCAUACUUGCAGACAGCGGAGGAACUUACCUGGCAAUGUGAAAUCUUGCUAGGAAAAAAGGGUUGUGCGGGAGUAAUGAAAUCCUCUGGGAAUGGCAGAUGAAACCUGAACACCGGUGGGACUGCCUUGAGUUCUGACACAAUUACCACAGUGCAUAAGAAAAACCUGCAAAGAACAGGCUCACUCCGAGGGCUGAGAUGUGACCAGUGUCCCAGUUAUUAUUAGCUACUAAAGGUCUGAAAAGGUUCAAACUCCAUCUUUGUAGGAAUUCAAACAGAGGGAUGCAUGAGGCCUUGCUGACGGCUUCCAGACUGAAAAAGAAAGCGGAGGGAAAAGGGGCAUUUCUCUGACCUUCCUCGGUGAUUGCUCAGAACUGUGUCUACUGAUGGCCGUGUCCAACACCGACAAGAAGAGGCAAGAGAAGUCAAAAUCUGAGGAGUGAGAUGUUCUGCUAGCACAGAAAAGCCACCUGGAGAAACAAAAACAAAUGUCACACAGCUGCGAGUGGGAGAAAUGCUAUUGUUUUCCUGGUAGCCCGUCCUUCCAGUCUUCUGAGAGAAGCGGGGGAAGGAGGAUUUGACCCUCACUGAGUGAAGGAGUUGCUGAUUUAGUCAAGUCAAGAACAGGAUGCGACGCUUUGGUCUAGUGCAUUGACAUUUGCAUCUCUGAGUGAGAAUGCUUAUUUUCAUUGGAGGAACAGCAAGACUGCCUUUUGAAACAUUUAAAGGGGAGCACGCAGAGAAAAGCAGGCGUGUGAAGAGGCUGCUUGCUGGCACAGCAGACCACAGCAUUUGCUACGGCGGUCGUAGAUCAGGCUGCUCACGGAAAGGGGCCCUUGUCUGAAGAUUCCCACUCCAGUCCCAUUGACUUUAUGGAUAGUCCUCGGGAUCUUGUCUGAGCACAUCCAAAUGUUUGUACAGCACCUGAUGCAAACAGGCCGUCGUCCUGCUUCAUUUGUCAAAUGAUAAAUAACAUAAUAAUGCUGUAAUUGGAGUCAUUCAUACAGACAGUAAUCAUCUGGUGAUUCAGUACAGCACAGACUUGUGAGGUGGAAGGCUGCGCUAAGCUUAUGCAGAGACUUCUAUCUUGCUCAUCAGUUUCUGCACGCUAAAUAUAUUCUGAAUUUACGAAUGCUGAAGUUUUAAGGUGAGAUUUUCUAUGCUUGGGCUCAACCCAAAAAUGAUUCAUUUCCGUAAUGCCGGAAUAAAACUGUUCAGGCACUUUUGAGUUAUGUAAGACUGAAAGACAAGGUAUUGAUAAUGUUGCUAUUAACAGCAGAAUCAAGACUCCCUGACAGCACCUAUAAUAAUAUUUUUUUAUUUAUUGAGCAAAGAGCAGCAAUGCAGAGGGAGGCAGAAGGCAGGAAACUUCAGAGAGUUUAUGCCUGCCAGCCAGCAGCACUUGGUCCUGAAAUCAGGCUCUGGCGAUGUGCAGUGCACGGCAAAAAUACUUGAAUUAAUGCCUAAGACCUUGCUGAUACAUACCUCAUAGUUAAUCUGGUUACGCGGGGUUUAUUUCACAGUCGGAAGUUCUUGCGCUGGAAGGGAGUCCUGCUGGGGUUUUCUGAGCACACGAUGGAAUUAAUGAAUGCACAAAUGCAGCUUGCCAGCCUAGAUUUAAAUUGCUUACUAGAUCAAAAUCUGCUCGUUUUCUCUGUCCUUUUUUUUUUUUUUCCCUUCCCAGCCUCUCUGUCCUUUAUUUAUUAAUUUGUUUAGGAAAACAUAUCAGGAGCACAGAAAGUGCCCGUGGACGUCACCAAGGCAGCUAACGCAGAUAAAUGGCUGUUUUUUCACGCUGGCCUGAAUCCUGGCACGAGGCUUUGAGCUGUGCUUCUGGGCACGGGGCAUCCUGGCAGGGGCUGGUGGGUGGCUGGUGCUGGCUGGGGAUGCGAGGAGCCGCAGCCACCAGCGAUCCCUUUCUGCAGCCCCUGGGAAAAGGACAGCAUUACCAGCCCUGCUCUGAAAGGGCAGGCAGUAAACCUGGGCUGCUCUGCAGGAAGGGUCACGUUGUUUCUAUCUUUUGGAUCCACGCUGCCUCUUGUCAGAUUUUAAUGGGUGCUUGCAAAUAGCAUAAUAUUUUGAUUUAUUUGGCCGCCGGGCAGAUCUCCAGCCUGCUGUCUUGACUGUGGCGUUUGUAUUUUAAUAGGAGUUUUAAGAAGGCUUGGCUAGGGGUAUUUAAGGUAGUCCCUGAGCUUUUAUGUAGACCUUCUCAGCCGUGAUUAGAAGCGCGGCGCCGCAGAGAUGUGGAGGCAGAUUUUUAGGAUGUGGAGAUGCAGAGAUUCUGCAAGAGUGCCCUCAGCGAUGCCCUCCUAAAGCCUCUUUCAGAUGAGCGAGCUCAUCUCCCGCUGCCCGUUGAAUCCCUUUUCACAUCCCGGCCUCUGGACUCCUUAACACUGCGUCCAACCGCGCUGCGCAAGGCCAGGAUGAAGGCAGCCCUUGCUCCUCCCUGAGCCGCUCAGGCUGGGCAUGGUGGAAGGAAGGAUGCCUGCUCACCCCUCCCAGCUCCCCAGCACCUGCUUUUCAGGGCCGGACACCUCCCUCCCGGCCCUGGCGCUGGGACGUGCUGCAAGGAGGUAAUGUAUGGAUGCACGGAGCUCAAGGCAGCGAGACGCCUCCCCGGACUCCUGUCUGCAUGCUCAUGAGCAAAAGGGAUAGGAGACAAAUGCGGCUCCUUCAAGGUGAAGGGCAGCGGUGGCAUGAAGGAAAAGUAGCCUGUGCUCUGUGCUGAAGCCAGGAGACCCUCCUGAAAAUUCACCGCUUUUCAUUUUUAAUGACGUCUUAGAUGGGAAUUUCAGAGCUUGUGAAAACCAGAGGCUGAUAAAUCUGCAGGGUUAAUCAAGAGAGAGCCUGCCUGCCAACGUAUCCAGGUGUCCUGAGCUGCACUAUCGCUGCUCUUCCUCACCUUUCUCCCCCUGUGCUGCAGACACAGCCCGAGCAGGGAUGGAUGGCUACGCUGCAUGGUGCAGUGCAGGCACUGCAUUAUUCACCAGGUUUCCUUGGCUCAUCUAGAGACUUGACUAUGAAUUUGUCUCCAGGUCUUCGGCUUUGCAACCCCAAUGUGCCCACCCAGCUUUGCCUGCUGCUGGCUUAACCCUGCCUGUCUGGACCCCGAUCCCACCAAGGAGGAUAAAGCAGGGAGAGCACCAAGGUGCAUUUCUGCUGUACAGCAUCCCAGAGGGAGCAGGAGCUCUUCAGAGAUGAAAAUCUGCUUUGACAUGUGAGACUCAACCCUCCAUUAAAUGAGGAGCUGAAGAAGUCACCUGUUUGGACUUUGAAGAGUCAUGGUGGCCACCUAACUAACCCUUUUGGUGGGGCAGUUUAAUCCCUGAAAGGGUACUGUGGCCCUAAGCUCCCCAGUCACAGCCCAGAAGCAGCUAAAGCAAGGAGGUGUGAUGACUGGGAUGGAUGGAUGGAUGGAUGGAUGGAUGGAUGGAUGGAUGGAUGGAUGGAUGGAUGAUUUUAACAGGUACCUUGGAGCCCAGCAUGUCACCAACUCUGCAGUCCUUUGGUUCCAGGUUUCAUCAUGAAGCCCUUCAGAGACACUGAGCUGCAUGUAGCACCCUCCCUUCCUUAUCUGCCUGUCCCAGGGGCAGCUGGAGGACACAGUUGGAGAAGGGAAGCUCCCAGCCCCACGGCUACCCGGGCACCUUGGAAGAGGGCAGGCUGUACCCAGGCGAUAAACGAUUGCAAAGCAGCCCAUUAAUUCAGGAGCAAAGAUACAAAGAACAGCCCACCAGAGCUUCAAACUUCACCAUUUUGCUGUACCAAACCUCCCUUGAAAUGCUAAUUAAAACGAGCUUGGGGAGAGGAGCCUGCUAACAGGAUCACAGCCUCUCUUGCAUCGAGCAAUAGACGUGUAGUAGGCAUCCAUGUUUCCCCGUACGCUUAUUUUCCAAGCUGAGUUGACUGUAAAUGUUGCGGUAAUGUGAAACCCACAGAGGGAGCGGGAUGCAAACACAAAGCAGAAGGAGACGCGAGGCCUAGUCACGGAGCUGCAAUAGAAAAAUACAUGGCAGCCUUCGGCAUAUAAAUAAAUAACUGCCCGAAACGAGGGCUAAUUAACUUGCAAUAAACCGACUUAACCACUUAGGGGCAGCGUUAACACGGAGUUAACAUGCAAAACAAACCUGUGUGUUCUCACCUGGUUAAUUGAAUAUGCGCCCUGAAUAUUCAUGGUGUAUCAAAUAGCGAUACGUCCACGCACUGAGUGAUGCGGUCUGUCAAAGCCGGGGACGUGAGAUAAUGGGGGUAACUCAGUCGCUGCUGCGCAGCGUUAACUUUGAUCAUUUGGCGCUUCUAAACACAUCCAUAGAUGUAGGACUUUGCUGCUUUUCCUCUGUCGGGGUCACGGAGCGUGUUCUAUACAAAGAUUAAAACCUAAAGGAAAAAAAAAAAAAAGACAUAAAAAAGGGCUUCACUUAAAAUAAACAGAAAGAAGAUGAAACAGAGAAAAAGCCGUCUUUGAGAAAUGCUGCUCUCGCAUGCAGGAGCUGAAAAACCCAUUUUAUCUCCAUGGCCACAUUCGGCGUCACUUUACUUUCACACAAUAUGUUUCUUCUCUACCACGCAUUCAAAAAAACCCCCGGUUCCUUGGAUUCCUCUGAAACGUUUCCUUGCAUCAUAAAGGAGCUCAGACCCACCGCGGGUGUGUUUACACUCCCGGAUCAGAACAAGUAAAUAAAGGAAAGGGGUUUGGUAGUGAGGCUUGAGUAGCUUCAGGUAGCUCCGGCAGGUGGAAGCCAUGGGGAAAACACCAUCAUCUGCUGCCCUGCUCAGUGCUGGGGCACAGGGGUGCUGGUUCUUGCAGCGUUUAGGUGCCCAGUACAGCAGGUGCCCUCUCAACCAGCACCAGGAGCACCGGCUUGCUCAGCACAAGGAAUGCGAUCUGGACCAGGUUCAAGUGUGCCAUCACCUUUCUGGUGUUAUCCCGAAGUCGGAUGGAAAAAAAGCCUGGAAGAAGCGAGAUGGAGCCGAAGCGGCAGCUGGAAAUGCCUCCCGGUGAAACUCAUUCAUUAAGAAGCAAAAGCUAGGAGACAUAAACGUGAGAUGCUUGCAGCCUGCUGAUGGACGUUUUGCAGUAGGGAGAAUGCUGGAUCACUAAUCAUUCCCUUGGCAUAUCAGCAAUGCACAUGCCACCCAACGGGAAGGGUGGGCAGAUUUCUGCCUGGCUGAGUGCAGCGGUGCUGCUCGCAGCCCCUGAGCCCCAGCAGUGAUUUCGCGACCCGCGGGAAGCGCUGCUAGCUCGUACCUCUGGCCUGCCACUGAAUGGAUUGCCAGCAUGAGGCAUGGAGCCUCUGGGAGCUGUGCGGGAGGUGAAUGCGAAAGCAAGCACAGAAGAAAGUCAGGCUCCUGCAGACUUCAACAGGCACGCUUCCCUUCCCACAGAAGAAAAAGCUGUUACUACGUAGAGGCAACGUUAGAAAAAUCACACAGAGCACAAAGGGAAGUCUACCUCUGGGUUUUUAGGUAAGCUGAGGGGAAUCCCUGCAGCCUUUUCCCCUCCUUUACUUUUUCUUUUCUAAUACUAGUGCCGCAGAGGACUGCGUCUGUGUGCAUGAAAUCAGUGCUGCUCUUUAAAUACUUUUCUCCCCCCAACGCCGCUCCAGUUCCUGGUUCAGUUUUGAAUGGAGAUCUUAAGCGAAAGCAGCAAAACACCAACUGGCUGGAAAAUUGGCCAUGAAGGAGCGCAGUUAUUAGGAACCAGAUGCUUCAGCCGAGAGGAAGCAGGAUACGGGAGGCCUUCCAAAAGUGGGUUACCAAGGGGCCUUAGAGACGGACAAGCACCAAAAGCAUCAGUUAUCCACUUGAGCAUUCGCAUGUGUUUGCUUAGGGCUUUGAGUGGCCUGCAACCACAAGACUGGGAUUUGGGUUCCUCUGUGCAGCCUCUGAGAUUUCCACACAUUGCUGAGCUGCUUUUCUCCAGGUCUUGGGAGUGUCAAGACUAGAGAAGCAAGUUGUCACUGGGUGAUCAUUCAUACCAGACACAUCCCCCAGUGUGCUCGAGGGUUGCAUAUGCCUAUGCUGCGUCUGUGGGUAACCGUGGAACUUCACAUACAAGCAGAACCACCUGGCUCCUUUCAAAAGACAAAUAGCACAUCAAAGCAGAUUUUUAUCAUCAUUGUUACACUCUCCGGCCCCCCUGCGAGAGGAUUUUCAUGCUGUCAUUUCAGGGAUGAAAUAAAUUUUUUUGGGAAAGCAAAAUUCUGCCCUGACUUUUAUUUAUUUAGAGCAAUGCUGAUGACUGUAACUGCAUGUCCCCUUGGUGGAAACAAUGAAAGCAACUCC